rnacentral:lncRNA from 1 species
UCCCUUUCCUGGGUUCAGGCUGCUUUGUUUUACAUGAGCACUUAUAUUAACAUCAUUAUCCUUCCCACCAGUGGAUAAGUCAUGUUUUUUCUUACAUGCCAAUGGACCCCGUUCCUUGCUGAGAGCAUAGACGCCAUCAUCAUUUACAGCUGUUCAGGUAAAACCAGAUGCCUACUGUGA